UCUGUAAGAUAAGGCUCUGCGUCCGGUUUCAUCGCCUGGACAUAACUUCCGUUCUUCGUGUUGGUGACGGCGUGUUGGGCGAUUGUAAGAAAAGAUGUCGGCCCAUAAAACUUUCAUCAUUAAAAGGAAGCUUGCGAAAAAGCUGAAACAAAAUAGACCCAUUCCACAGUGGGUGAGGAUGCGAACAGAUAAUACCAUACGGUA